rnacentral:rRNA from 1 species
UACGUAGGUCCCGAGCGUUGUCCGGAUUUAUUGGGCGUAAAGCGAGCGCAGGUGGUUUAUUAAGUCUGGUGUAAAAGGCAGUGGCUCAACCAUUGUAUGCAUUGGAAACUGGUAGACUUGAGUGCAGGAGAGGUAAGUGGAAUUCCUAGUGUAGCGGUGAAAUGCGUAGAUAUUAGGAGGAACACCAGUGGCGAAGGCGGCUUACUGGACUGUAACUGACGUUGAGGCUCGAAAGCGUGGGGAGCAAACAGG